rnacentral:lncRNA from 1 species
CCUAAAACCAAAACAAUAACAAAAACCUGAUUACCUGUGUGUGUGUGUGGAGGGGGAGGUGUCUGUGCCAUGUUGUGUGUGGAAAUCAGAAGACAGCUAGCAGGUGUCAAUUCUCUGAGUCCUGGGGAUUGAAUUCAAGUACUUAGGCUUGGUGGCACGUACACUUUCUCCACUGAACCAUCUCAUAGCCUGGGUCAAGUGUAAUUUAAAGAGUUCUCCUAAUAAAAAUAUUCAGACACAAUUAACAGUAAGAAUUUUUUUAAUUUAUUCUGAGAACUAAUCUAGUAUUAAAAAAUUGCGCUUUACACGUGUUCGAAAGGAGAGGCCACAGCCAGGAACAGGCGUGAGGAAGUGAGCGUCGAGGUUAUUUAUAGCAUCAAAGAUUUGGAGACAACAUUUUCAUGUGUUGUUUUUGAUUCUCUGAAACCUGGGAGAAGUUGAAAUUGGUCAGGAAAGCAAGUAGGCAAAAAAUUUUAGACUUGGGCCCAAGGGUGGAAGUCUCUGUGUGAGAUUGGUGCCUUCUGUUUGCAAACCAAAGAGGAGUUAUUUGGGUUUACUCCAGAACAAGGUUUGUUUGUUUGGUUGGUUUUUUUUUAAAGGACACAGAGACACGAAGAACAGGAAACAACCUCACAGGCACUGACGUCCACAUCUGGAGAGGCUGAGCUGCCAGCAAAAACUCUUUGUCUACGAACGGUACACCUAUAGAGACAAGC